rnacentral:rRNA from 1 species
UACGUAGGGGGCAAGCGUUGUCCGGAAUCAUUGGGCGUAAAGCGCGUGUAGGCGGCCCGAUAAGUCCGCUGUGAAAGUCCAGGGCUCAACCCUGGAAUGCCGGUGGAUACUGUCGGGCUCGAGUCCGGAAGAGGCGAGUGGAAUUCCUGGUGUAGCGGUGAAAUGCGUAGAUAUCCGGAGGAACACCGGUGGCGAAGGCGGCUUCCUGGACCGACACUGACGCUGAGGCGCGAAAGCUAGGGGAGCAAACGGG